GACGAACGCUGGCGGCGUGCUUAACACAUGCAAGUCGAACGGAAAGGCCCUGCUUUUGUGGGGUGCUCGAGUGGCGAACGGGUGAGUAACACGUGAGUAACCUGCCCUUGACUUUGGGAUAACUUCAGGAAACUGGGGCUAAUACCGGAUAGGAGCUCCUGCUGCAUGGUGGGGGUUGGAAAGUUUCGGCGGUUGGGGAUGGACUCGCGGCUUAUCAGCUUGUUGGUGGGGUAGUGGCUUACCAAGGCUUUGACGGGUAGCCGGCCUGAGAGGGUGACCGGCCACAUUGGGACUGAGAUACGGCCCAGACUCCUACGGGAGGCAGCAGUGGGGAGUAUUGCACACUGGGCGGAAGCCUGAUGCAGCACCGCCGCGUGCGGGAUGACGGCCUUCGGGUUGUAAGCCGCUUUCGCCUGUGACGAAGCGUGAGUGACGGUAAUGGGUAAAGAAGCACCGGCUAACUACGUG
rnacentral:rRNA from 1 species